CCUGGGUGUGUAGUCACAGCUGAGCAAUCUGGAACCACAGUCUAACUGCAGCAGCUCCAAGCUCUACACCAGCUUACUUGCCUUUACCAAGCUGAGCAUGGAUAUCUCUACACUACGUUUUUGCCUGCAGCAUGGGUAUAUCUGCUUUAGUGGACAGAGGCCGACAUGGAGAUUCCGAGGUGUUUCGUCUCAGCGCUGAAGAAUGUGUGGUGGACACAGCACCAGAGGCAACACUGCGUAUUGCUCAAGGAGUCAGCGCCAGCAUCUAAGGAUAAACAACUGACAGGGAGCAGGGUGGCUGGAGAGCACAGGAGCUCAUCUUCACCCAUCACCCACCUGAUAUGAGAUGAGCAUCUUCUCAUAACACUGCCCUAGUGCUGCUACAGAACUAUGGAAAAUAAAAGC